CAGUAGCCGCGGGAAUUCGUAGGUGGCAAGCGUUGUCCGGAAUUAUUGGGCGUAAAGGGCUCGCAGGCUGUUUCUUAAGUCUGAUGUGAAAGCCCCCGGCUCAACCGGGGAGGGUCAUUGGAAACUGGGAAACUUGAGUACAGAAGAGGAGAGUGGAAUUCCACGUGUAGCGGUGAAAUGCGUAGAGAUGUGGAGGAACACCAGUGGCGAAGGCGACUCUCUGGUCUGUAACUGACGCUGAGGAGCGAAAGCGUGGGGAGCGAACAGGAUUAGAUACCCGUGUAGUCCCUGUCUCUUAUAC
rnacentral:rRNA from 1 species